rnacentral:rRNA from 1 species
UGAGGAAUAUUGCGCAAUGGACGAAAGUCUGACGCAGCAACGCCGCGUGAGGGAUGAAGCUCUUAGGAGUGUAAACCUUUUUUAGGAGGGAAGAACGGGUAGCAUUCGAACAGGGUGUUACUGUGACGGUACCUCCAGAAUAAGCCCCGGCUAACUCCGUGCCAGCAGCCGCGGUAAUACGGGGGGGGCUAGCGUUGUCCGGAAUUAUUGGGCGUAAAGGGCGCGUAGGCGGGGUAGUCAGUCUGAGGUGAAAGCCCAGGGCUUAACUCUGGGUUUGCCUUGGAUACUGCUAUUCUUGAGUUCGGCAGAGUGAAGUGGAAUUCCUGGUGUAGCGGUGAAAUGCGUAGAUAUCAGGAAGAACACCGGUGGCGAAGGCGGCUUCCUGGUCCGAUACUGACGCUGAGGCGCGAAAGCGUGGGGAGCGAACA